GACGAACGCGGGCGGCGUGCUUCACACAUGCAAGUCGAACGAUGAAGCCCAGCUUGCUGGGUGGAAGAGUGCCGAACGGGUGAGUAACACGUGAGUAACCUGCCCCUGACUCUGGGAUAAGCGCUAGAAAUGGCGUCGAAUACUGGAUAUGACCUAUCACCGCAUGGUGUGUAGGUGGAAAGAUUUAUCGGUUGGGGAUGGACUCGCGGCCUAUCAGCGUGUUGGUGAGGUAAUGGCUCACCAAGGCGACGACGGGUAGCCGGCCUGCGAGGGGGCCCGGCCACACUGGGACUGAGACCCGGCGCAGACUCCGACGGGAGGGAGCGGUGGGGAAUAUUGCACAUGGGGCGCAAGCCUGAUGCAGCAACGCCGCGUGAGGGAUGACGGCCUUGGGGUUGUAAAGCUCUUUUAGUAGGGAAGAAGCGCAAGUGACGGUACGUGCAGGAAAAGCACCGGCUAACUACGUGCCAGCCGCCGCGGUAA
rnacentral:rRNA from 1 species